CGCGUAGGCGGCUUAACAAGUCACUUGUGAAAUCUCCGGGCUUAACUCGGAACGGCCAAGUGAAACUGCAGUGCUAGAGUGCAGAAGGGGCAAUCGGAAUUCUUGGUGUAGCGGUGAAAUGCGUAGAUAUCAAGAGGAACACCUGAGGUGAAGACGGGUUGCUAGGCUGACACUGACGCUGAGGCGCGAAAGCCAGGGAGCAAACG
rnacentral:rRNA from 1 species